AGAGUUUGAUCAUGGCUCAGAACGAACGCUGGCGGCAGGCUUAACACAUGCAAGUCGAACGGGUGUAGCAAUACAUCAGUGGCAGACGGGUGAGUAACACGUGGGAACCUUCCUAGAGGUACGGAACAACUCAGGGAAACUUGAGCUAAUACCGUAUACGCUCUUGCGAGGAAAGAUUUAUCGCCUUUAGACGGGCCCGCGUCGGAUUAGCUAGUUGGUGGGGUAACGGCCUACCAAGGCGACGAUCCGUAGCUGAUCUGAGAGGAUGAUCAGCCACACUGGGACUGAGACACGGCCCAGACUCCUACGGGAGGCAGCAGUGGGGAAUCUUGGACAAUGGGCGCAGGCCUGAUCCAGCCAUGCCGCGUGAGUGAAGAAGGCCUUCGGGUUGUAAAGCUCUUUUGCCAGGGACGAUAAUGACGGUACCUGGAGAAUAAGCCCCGGCAAACUUCGUG
rnacentral:rRNA from 1 species